rnacentral:rRNA from 1 species
GAUGAACGCUGGCGGCGUGCCUAAUACAUGCAAGUCGAGCGAACGGACGAGAAGCUUGCUUCUCUGAUGUUAGCGGCGGACGGGUGAGUAACACGUGGAUAACCUACCUAUAAGACUGGGAUAACUUCGGGAAACCGGAGCUAAUACCGGAUAAUAUUUUGAACCGCAUGGUUCAAAAGUGAAAGACGGUCUUGCUGUCACUUAUAGAUGGAUCCGCGCUGCAUUAGCUAGUUGGUAAGGUAACGGCUUACCAAGGCAACGAUGCAUAGCCGACCUGAGAGGGUGAUCGGCCACACUGGAACAGAGACACGGUCCAGACUCCUACGGGAGGCAGCAGUAGGGAAUCUUCCGCAAUGGGCGAAAGCCUGACGGAGCAACGCCGCGUGAGUGAUGAAGGUCUUCGGAUCGUAAAACUCUGUUAUUAGGGAAGAACAUAUGUGUAAGUAACUGUGCACAUCUUGACGGUACCUAAUCAGAAAGCCACGGCUAACUACGUG